rnacentral:rRNA from 1 species
GACGAACGCUGGCGGCGUGCUUAACACAUGCAAGUCGAACGCUGAACCCGCUUCGGUGGGGGAUGAGUGGCGAACGGGUGAGUAACACGUGGGCAACCUUCCCCCGGCUCUGAGAUAACUCCAAGAAAUUGGGGCUAAUACCGGAUGUGACCGCUAGACGCAUGGUCUGGUUGUGGAAAUGGUUUCCGGCUGGGGAUGGGCCCGCGGCCUAUCGGCUUGUUCGUGGGGUAGUGGCCUACCAAGGCGACGACGGGGAGCCGGCCUGAGAGGGUGACCGGCCACACUGGGACUGAGACAAGGCAGAGGCUCCUACGCGAGGCAGCAGUGGGAAAUAUUGAGCAAGGGGCGGAAGCUUGACGCAGCGACGCCGCGUGGGGGAUGACGGCCUUCGGAUUGUAGACCUCUUUCAGCAGGGACGAAGCGCAAGUGACGGUACCUGCAGAAGAAGCACCGGCCAACUACGUG